CGGGCGUUAAGUUGCAGGGUAUAGACCCGAAACCCGGUGAUCUAGCCAUGGGCAGGUUGAAGGUUGGGUAACACUAACUGGAGGACCGAACCGACUAAUGUUGAAAAAUUAGCGGAUGACCUGUGGCUGGGGGUGAAAGGCCAAUCAAACCGGGAGAUAGCUGGUUCUCCCCGAAAGCUAUUUAGGUAGCGCCUCGUGAAUUCAUCUCCGGGGGUAGAGCACUGUUUCGGCUAGGGGGCCAUCCCGGCUUACCAACCCGAUGCAAACUGCGAAUACCGGAGAAUGUUAUCACGGGAGACACACGGCGGGUGCUAACGUCCGUCGUGAAGAGGGAAACAACCCAGACCGCCAGCUAAGGUCCCAAAGUCAUGGUUAAGUGGGAAACGAUGUGGGAAGGCCCAGACAGCCAGGAUGUUGGCUUAGAAGCAGCCAUCAUUUAAAGAAAGCGUAAUAGCUCACUGGUCGAGUCGGCCUGCGCGGAAGAUGUAACGGGGCUAAACCAUGCACCGAAGCUGCGGCAGCGACACUGUGUGUUGUUGGGUAGGGGAGCGUUC
rnacentral:rRNA from 1 species